rnacentral:rRNA from 1 species
GAUGAACGCUAGCGAUAGGCUUAACACAUGCAAGUCGAGGGGCAGCACAAGGUAGCUUGCUAUCUGGGUGGCGACCGGCGCACGGGUGCGUAACGCGUAUGCAACUUGCCCUAUACAGGAGGAUAACCCGUCGAAAGACGGACUAAUACUGCGUAUGCUCACAACUUGGCAUCAAGUGGUGAGGAAAGAAAUUCGGUAUAGGAUAGGCAUGCGUCCCAUUAGCUUGUUGGUGAGGUAACGGCUCACCAAGGCAACGAUGGGUAGGGGAACUGAGAGGUUUAUCCCCCACACUGGUACUGAGACACGGACCAGACUCCUACGGGAGGCAGCAGUGAGGAAGAUUGGUCAAUGGGCGCGAGCCUGGACCAGCCAAGUCGCGUGAAGGAUGACUGUCUCAUGGAUUGUAAACUUCUUUUAUACGGGAAUAACAAGAGUCACGUGUGACUCCCUGCAUGUACCGUAUGAAUAAGCAUCGGCUAACUCCGUG